rnacentral:rRNA from 1 species
CCUACGAGAGGCAGCAGUGAGGAAUAUUGGUCAAUGGGCGCGAGCCUGAACCAGCCAAGUCGCGUGAAGGAAGACGGUCCUAUGGAUUGUAAACCUCUUUUGUCAGGGAGCAAAGGGCGCCACGUGUGGCGUUUUGUGAGUACCUGAAGAAAAAGCAUCGGCUAACUCCGUGCCAGCAGCCGCGGUAAUACGGGGGAUGCGAGCGUUAUCCGGAUGUAUUGGGUUUAAAGGGUGCGCAGGCGGAAUGUCAAGUCAGCGGUAAAAUUUCGGGGUGCAACCCCGUCGUGCCGUUGAAACUGGCGUUCUUGAGUGAGCUAGAAGUAUGCGGAAUGCGUGGUGUAGCGGUGAAAUGCAUAGAUAUCACGCAGAACUCCGAUUGCGAAGGCAGCAUACCGGCGCUCAACUGACGCUCAGGCACGAAAGCGUGGGUAUCGAACAGGAUUAGAUACCCUUGUAGUC